rnacentral:rRNA from 1 species
UUGGACAAUGGGCGCAAGCCUGAUCCAGCAAUGCCGCGUGCAGGAUGAAGGCCUUCGGGUUGUAAACUGCUUUUGUACGGAACGAAAAAGCUCUCUCUAAUACAGGGGGUGAAUGACGGUACCGUAAGAAUAAGCACCGGCUAACUACGUGCCAGCAGCCGCGGUGAUACGUAGGGUGCGAGCGUUAAUCGGAAUUACUGGGCGUAAAGCGUGCGCAGGCGGUUUUGUAAGACAGAGGUGAAAUCCCCGGGCUCAACCUUGGAACUGCCUUUGUGACUGCAAAGCUGGAGUGCGGCAGAGGGGGAUGGAAUUCCGCGGGUAGCAGUGAAAUGCGUAGAUAUUCGGAGGAACACCGAUGGCGAAGGCAAUCCCCUGGGCCUGCACUGACGCUCAUGCACGAAAGCGUGGGGAGCAAACA